AGCGAACGCUGGCGGCAGGCCUAACACAUGCAAGUCGAACGAACUCUUCGGAGUUAGUGGCGGAAGGGUGUGUAACAGGUGGGAACGUGCCUUUAGGUUCGGCAUAACUCAGGGACACUUGUGCUAAUACCGAAUGUGCCCUUCGGGGGAAAGAUUUAUCGCCUUUAGAGCGGCCCGCGUCUGAUUAGCUAGUUGGUAAGGUAAAGGCACACCAAGGCGACGAUCAGUAGCUGGUCUGAGAGGAUGAUCAGCCACAUUGGGACUAAGACACGGCCCACACUCCUACGCGAUGGAGGAGAGGGGAAUCGUGCGAAAUGGGCGAAAGCCUGACGCAGCCAUGCCGGGUGAAUGAUGAAGGUCGUAGGAAAGUAAAAUUCUUUCAACGGGGACGAUAAUGACGGUACCCGGAAAAGAAGCCCCGGCUAACUUCGUG
rnacentral:rRNA from 1 species